rnacentral:lncRNA from 1 species
AAUAGGAACUCCUCCUUGUAAACCUCCCAUUCGCAAUGUCCCUGGACAGUCUGGACACUGUAGCUUCCAUAGAUAGAGGGUCUAUAGUGACCAUCCUAUAAAAGGAACUUCUGAAAGCAUUUGCUUCUACUUACUCUUUCUUCAAACGACAAAAGGAAAUGGCUUGGCAAGAAUUGUCAUCUCAGAAGACAUGACACAAGUGGACACUCGGCCUGUCAGCCUGGGCUUUCUGUUCCCCACUGUGUCUCACAUUCUGCUAAAGCCUGAAGGCUCUUUUCACAUCCCUGCUUAUUCAUGUGCACUACCGUCUUCAGAGGUAAUGAGGUCAAAGAGGAAGUGGGAGGGUGAUCUGAGACAACAUGUGAAACAUGUUUGUACUUUAAAAGGCUUAUAGGAAACAAGUGUCCUUGUCAGCUAAGUGAGUAUGUGCAAUUUGUAACUCUGUGGUUGCCCAGGGCAUAUUGUAUUUUCAUUUUAUUUACUGUUUUUGUGUGAUGUGUGUGUGUGUGUGUGCGUGUGCGUGUGCGUGUGUGUGUGUGUGUGUGUGUGUGUGUAGUGCCUGAGUGGAAAUGCAUGUCCACAUGUGCCACACAUGUAGGUGGAGAUCAGAGGCCAACCUUCAGGAAUGUGUUCUCUCUUUCCUCUCUGGGCUCCAGGGAUUGAACUCAGAUGCUCUGCUUGCACAGCAAGUGUCUCUAUCUGCUGACCCAACUCCUUAGCCCCAUGAUAAGAUUUUUGAACUCUUCUUUCCGGACCCAGAAAAAAGUGGUUGUGUUCCUCCUGUUAGAAACUGAUCCUUUCUGCUUUCUAAUGGCUCACUGGAGGUGAAUUAUUGUCCAAAAGAAGACAAACAGAGCAGGGUAGAUCCAUUUUUUAGAUAUGUGAUCUUUAGAUCCAACACUUAAAGCUUUGAGGGCUCAGGGUCUGGAAUCUGAAGACUAUCUGCUUCUCCCAAAGCAUCCAAAUCUUGGCACUCAGAAUCUUUCACCUCACUUCACCGGGACAACAACUGACAAUAGUUAUCUAUAGUUUCCAAAGGGAUAUGUGAUGUGACACAUAUAUAUGGCAUAUGUAAAUGACACAUGCAUACAAUGAUAUAUAGGGUGAUAUACAUUAGGAAAAUGAGAACAGCUGCAAAGAAGCUGAGAACUGUGCGCAGCUAAACACUACCUGACAUGAGACAACGUGGUAUCUACGUGGCUACAAGCGACUACAGCCGUAUCCCAUGGAAGCCUGUAUGAAAGCCCUUUAGAAGUCCUAUAUCACUGAGUGUCUCUCAAUCAUUGCAGUUGAGAGAUAGCUCCCGUACGUUUGUGCAUAAGAGUGACAUUGAAGGGGUCUGAAAACCUGAGGAUUUCUGGCACCAACCCAAGAGAUCCUGACGACCUACAUCUAGAGUGACUCAAUAGAAUCCAUCAAGAACCACGGCUUCUACAGAGCUGUAGGCUUAUUGUCCCGUGUACUUUCCUGUAGGGGGCAGUAGAGUCUAACCGAUCGAAACGUGGGCUUCACCCGCUCAGCCAAGCUUUGAAGUUAUUGCUGGAUUUCUACAUUACUGAUGCUUUUGUUUCUUAUUCUGUAUAAUGGGCAUGAUGGCUGCAUUUGUUUUAGGGUGUUAGGGAAGAGAGUUGAGCUCUAAAUUUAGGAAAUCAAUUCAAAUUAUUGUGUGGAAGGUUUUCAAGGUAUAAAUGUCUAGCUACUGACGUUCUUUGUAUGUUCUCUUUGUUUCGUGUAUCGCGGCACCUCUUCUUCCCCUUCUGAUUUGUUCCUUCAAAACAAGGUCAGAAGAGGCAUGUCUGAUUCUGCGGACAAGGAAACCUCCUGCCCACCCCACCCGUUUCUCCCUAUCCCAUCUAUGUCCGAUGAUGGUAGCUCUUAAUCACAUCAUGGACAGUUCCUUUAUCAGCUGCCAACUAAGCAUGGGAAGUUUGUGUAAGUGAAAGGGUCACAAAGAGCCUGUCCAGAUCUUCACCUCAGUGGAGCAGAGCUCCAUGCAGUCCGGUGUUUGCUGGUAAACAACAAUUCUAGCUGUUCAAGUGUCUAUUCGCAUGGGCCUUGCUUUUAUCUUUAUAGCUUCAGUCUGCCAACCCUCCCCCGGACCCCCAUGCCAUUCUUCCAGGCAGCCUUGCAAAUCAGCAGGAUGAGUUUAAUGAACAGCAACCACUAUGGUUAUGUCUACCAGGUCACUGAGCCACCCAUCCAUUGCAUCCUUGAUGGGCUUCACUAGCUCUCUUGAGGAAUGUCUCCUCCAUGACAACCAGACAGGCAGGACCUUCACAACAGUUGAAGGAUGGUGGUAACAGGUCCUGGGCAUUAUCCUCCAUUGUUCUUGCACAAGGUCCUCAGCCAACCUUCCCAUUCUCCGAAGCCAGGUGCAUCAUUCUUUCAAGUCUGUAGAAUUCCAAAGAACAAAAUGUCCCUCUCAGGACCUCCUCCCCACAGAACCAUGGCCAGCUCCAGGCUUUCCUCCUCAGCCAGCUGUCUCUUGGCAGACAGUCCUGAGUCUUUCUACUACACUUGCUUCCCGUGACCACCCAACCAGUGGGAGUAAAAUCCAUGGGAUGCUCUCAGAAUUUCAUGGCAUUGUGUCCUGCCUGUAAACGCAGAUGAGCUCAGCCAUCUUUCUUUGUUGUCAUUAUAAAAGUGAAGGUGAGUGGAGGGUGAGAUGUCCUCUCAUCUCAGCAGGACCCUGUUAACUCACAGGGACCUGCAUUCUAUUCUUAGAAACCCACCUGCUUGCUGUCUUUUCCAUGGGCAUCAUUUGGCUGGCAACUGUCCCAUCAAGGAUUAAGUAUAGAGAGAAGUAUUCCCCCUUUAAAAUUCCUUUAAGGGUUCCAGUGUCUUGCAACACUUGAAGAAUUCAUGGGCUUUUCAUUCUCGUUCUCUUCUUCUCUCAUUAAGUAGCAGAAGUUUAGUUGGCUUCUCUGAGUGUCAGAAAAAGUAACUGUCAUUUGUUUGCAAAUGAAACCUGAGCUUUCUGCAAAGGACUCCCCUGCAGAUUCCGUCCCCCAUAACACUCCUCCAGCCUUCCAGUUGAUUUGAGAUAGUUUCCUGUUCUCCCACCUCUUGGAAAUAUUCCAUAGCACGCUGAGCAGACACUUUUAGUC